rnacentral:rRNA from 1 species
AACGCUAGCUACAGGCUUAACACAUGCAAGUCGAGGGGCAGCAUGGUCUUAGCUUGCUAAGGCCGAUGGCGACCGGCGCACGGGUGGGUAACACGUAUCCAACCUGCCGUCUACUCUUGGACAGCCUUCUGAAAGGAAGAUUAAUACAAGAUGGCAUCAUGAGUCCGCAUGUUCACAUGAUUAAAGGUAUUCCGGUAGACGAUGGGGAUGCGUUCCAUUAGAUAGUAGGCGGGGUAACGGCCCACCUAGUCUUCGAUGGGUAGGGGUUCUGAGAGGAAGGUCCCCCACAUUGGAACUGAGACACGGUCCAAACUCCUACGGGAGGCAGCAGUGAGGAAUAUUGGUCAAUGGGCGAGAGCCUGAACCAGCCAAGUAGCGUGAAGGAUGACUGCCCUAUGGGUUGUAAACUUCUUUUAUAAAGGAAUAAAGUCGGGUAUGCAUACCCGUUUGCAUGUACUUUAUGAAUAAGGAUCGGCUAACUCCGUGCCAGCAGCCGCGGUAAUACGGAGGAUCCGAGCGUUAUCCGGAUUUAUUGGGUUUAAAGGGAGCGUAGAUGGAUGUUUAAGUCAGUUGUGAAAGUUUGCGGCUCAACCGUAAAAUUGCAGUUGAUACUGGAUAUCUUGAGUGCAGUUGAGGCAGGCGGAAUUCGUGGUGUAGUGGUGAAAUGCUUCGAUAUCACGAGGAACUCCGAUUGCGAAGGCAGCCUGCUAAGCUGCAACUGACAUUGAGGCUCGAAAGUGUGGGUAUCAAACAGGAUUAGAUACCCUGGUAGUCCACACGGUAAACGAUGAAUACUCGCUGUUUGCGAUAUACUGCAAGCGGCCAAGCGAAAGCGUUAAGUAUUCCACCUGGGGAGUACGCCGGCAACGGUGAAACUCAAAGGAAUUGACGGGGGCCCGCACAAGCGGAGGAACAUGUGGUUUAAUUCGAUGAUACGCGAGGAACCUUACCCGGGCUUAAAUUGCAGAUGAAUUACGGUGAAAGCCGUAAGCCGCAAGGCAUCUGUGAAGGUGCUGCAUGGUUGUCGUCAGCUCGUGCCGUGAGGUGUCGGCUUAAGUGCCAUAACGAGCGCAACCCUUGUUGUCAGUUACUAACAGGUUCCGCUGAGGACUCUGACAAGACUGCCAUCGUAAGAUGUGAGGAAGGUGGGGAUGACAUCAAAUCAGCACGGCCCUUACGUCCGGGGCUACACACGCGUUACAAUGGGGGGUACAGAGGGCCGCUACCACGCGAGUGGAUGCCAAUCCCCAAAACCUCUCUCAGUUCGGACUGGAGUCUGCAACCCGACUCCACGAAGCUGGAUUCGCUAGUAAUCGCGCAUCAGCCACGGCGCGGUGAAUACGUUCCCGGGCCUUGUACACACCGCCCGUCAAGCCAUGGGAGCCGGGGGUACCUGAAGUGCGUAACCGCAAGGAGCGCCCUAGGGUAAAACUGGUGACUGGG